UUAGGGGCGUCGCCAAGUGGUAAGGCAGCGGGUUUUGAUCCCGCCAUCCGUUGGUUCAAAUCCGACCCCCGCAUCCA
rnacentral:tRNA from 1 species